rnacentral:rRNA from 1 species
UCCUGGCUCAGCUUGAACGCUGGCGGCAUGGCUAAAGCAUGCAAGUCGAACGAGAACCUGGCUUCGGCCAGGGGACAGUGGCGAACGGGCGAGUAACACCUUCCUAACGUACCCUGCAAUCAGGGAUAGCUCGGGGAAACCCGUGGUAAUACCUGAUGAUCCCACAGGAUCGCAUGACCCUGUGGGCAAAGGUCCGCCGUUGCAGGAUCGGGGAAGGCGCUAUCAGGUUGUUGGUAAGGUAACGGCUUACCAAGCCUAAGACGGCUAGCGGGCGUGAGAGCGCGACCCGCCGCAUCGGGACUGAGACACUGCCCGGACUCCUACGGGAGGCUGCAGCAACGAAUCUUCCGCAAUGCGCGAAAGCGUGACGGAGCAAUGCCGCGCGUAGGAUGAAGCCCCUCGGGGUGUAAACUACUGUCAGGGCUUAGGAAAUUUGACUAAACCCAAAGGAAGGGCCGGCUAACUUCGUGCCAGCAGCCGCGGUAAUACGAAGGGCCCGAGCGUUAAGCGGAUUCACUGGGCUUAAAGCGUGCGUAGGCUGGCCAGUAAGUGUCUUGUGAAAUCCCACUGCUCAACGGUGGAAUUGCAGGGCAAACUGCUGGUCUUGAGGCCGGAAGGGGUCGUCGGAACUCUAGGUGUAGCGGUGAAAUGCGUAGAUAUCUAGAGGAACGCCAAAGACGAAGGUAGACGACUGGGCCGGUUCUGACGCUGAGGCACGAAAGCGUGGGGAGCAAACAGGAUUAGAUACCCUGGUAGUCCACGCCGUAAACGAUGUACACUAGGUCCGGGAGGUUCUGACACCCUCCGGGCCGAAGGAAAACCAUUAAGUGUACCGCCUGGGGAGUACGGUCGCAAGGCUAAAACUCAAAGGAAUUGACGGGGGCUCACACAAGCGGUGGAGCAUGUGGCUUAAUUCGAGGCAACGCGAAGAACCUUAUCCUGGGUUUGACAUGUUGUGUUCAUCCAUGGAAACAUGGUGUCCUUCGGGAGAACAACACAGGUGCUGCAUGGCUGUCGUCAGCUCGUGCCGUGAGGUGUUAGGUUAAGUCCUUCAACGAGCGAAACCCUUACCACUAGUUGCCAGCGAGUCAAGUCGGGGACUCUAGUGGGACUGCCGAUGUCAAAUCGGAGGAAGGUGGGGAUGACGUCAAGUCCUCAUGGCCUUUAUGCCCAGGGCUGCACACGUGCUACAAUGGCGCGUACAGAGUGAAGCAAUGCCGCGAGGCGGAGCAAAUCGCAAAAAACGCGCCCCAGUUCGGAUUGCAGUCUGCAACUCGACUGCAUGAAGCCGGAAUCGCUAGUAAUCGCGUAUCAGCAACGACGCGGUGAUACGUUCCUGAGCCUUGUACACACCGCCCGUCAAGUCAUGGAAGCCGGGAGUGCCCGAAGUCGCACCGAUUCAGGUGUGCAUACGGCAAGCUCGGUGACUGGGACUAAGUCG